AUCACUCAGUGGGAGGAGAGCAAUUGAAUCACUUAUUUUGUAUAUGUGCUAUUAUCUUUAUUACUGUUUUUAUUAUAAUUUUUCUUCCUUUUCUGUCCUAUAAAGCUAUCUUAACACAUGAGUUUUAAUUUUAUCCAGUUCUCUCUUUCCCCAUCCCGCCUUUGGCAGGAGGAAUGAGCAGUGGCUGUGUGGUGCUUAGCUGCCUCCCAGCUUACACCAGAACAUCCACCUGAAUUAUUUUUGGCCACUGAACACACACACACACACACACACACACACACGCACACACACAAAGGAUAAAUCUUGCUUAAAUAAAAAGUCCCAUCCAAAUUCCUGUCACCCUGACAUUAGUGGGACUCGCAUUAGACCACUACAGUUAUUCUGUAGUUUCUGCCAGUACCAUUGAAGCUUUUUCUUUUUUCUUUUUUUGGUGGAGGAUUAUUUUUACAUAAGAUGGCCUUUCUUAUGUGGAGAACUGCAGCAGCACAUCAAGAACAGUGGAUGCGUUCACAAUACUGAAUGAAAUCAGUCUAUAUUUAUAAAGGGAAGUGCACGAGAAGUGCAGCUAUAGGAGGAUCUGCUCUGAUUAUAUCUCAGAAGAACAGAUUGAAUUCCAAUUGAAACCUUCAAUAAGGCCUGAGUUAUAGGCAAGAUUAUGAAAUCUCUGGUAUUCUACAUGCUCAGAACAAAAUCUCCAACAUGCCCACUUCAAUAGCUUGCGCAAAAUUAAACGAACAAAAACAUAACACUGGAUUUUGAAGGAUGUCCUUCUACAAAUUUCCACCACAAACCUUGUGUUUGAGUUCAGACUGUAAAAAAACAUAUAUGAAAUGACAACAAACGUCUUUUUAGUACGGAAACGUGCUCAUUUUAAGCAGUUGGAAAUACAUGAAAAAAUCAUGAAAGUAACUGAAAUACCUGCC
ensembl:lncRNA